rnacentral:rRNA from 1 species
GAUGAACGCUGGCGGCGUGCCUAAUACAUGCAAGUCGAGCGAACAGAUGAGGAGCUUGCUCCUCUGACGUUAGCGGCGGACGGGUGAGUAACACGUAGAUAACCUACCUAUAAGACUGGGAUAACUUCGGGAAACCGGAGCUAAUACCGGAUAAUAUAUUGAACCGCAUGGUUCAAUAGUGAAAGACGGUUUUGCUGUCACUUAUAGAUGGAUCCGCGCCGCAUUAGCUAGUUGGUAAGGUAACGGCUUACCAAGGCAACGAUGCGUAGCCGACCUGAGAGGGUGAUCGGCCACACUGGAACUGAGACACGGUCCAGACUCCUACGGGAGGCAGCAGUAGGGAAUAUUCCGCAAUGGGCGAAAGCCUGACGGAGCAACGCCGCGUGAGUGAUGAAGGUCUUCGGAUCGUAAAACUCUGUUAUUAGGGAAGAACAAAUGUGUAAGUAACUAUGCACGUUUUGACGGUACCUAAUCAGAAAGCCACGGCUAACUACGUG